CAAUGGGGCGACGGGAGCAGUUAGCGAGCCCCGCCUUUUCUCUCAGCCUUGUCUCGUUGCGUGAGAGCGGGCGCCGAAGCUUUUUUUUUUUUUUCCCUGGCUAGGCGGUGAAGCAUUGCUUCGAGUGGCUUUGCCUGCUCCGUCCAUCUUGUGUGUUAGCUAAAUCUCCAUAGAGAAGGGAGUAAGAAUCGCAGGUCGUUCCCGACCGCUUUGCACAGAGAAAAGCAAAACAAAAACCCCAGGCUGGGAAUGAGAGAAGGCGCAGACAUGCUUUUCUGCAAUAUCUUUUCAAGGCAAAACGUUGUAGCAGCCGCACCGAACCAUUUGGAAAAGAAAUGGGUGUUUUGAUCCGCCUAUUUGUUUAUGUAACUGUAUCCUUGGUGGGUGUACGCUGAAGCCAUUAUUUUAGCAGCCUGCUUGUGUCUCGCCACACAAGCGUUCAGUGGUAGUGACUGAAAGGGGAGCCGAAAUAAAAAAGAUGCGAUGCCGUUGCUAUUUUAUAAUUUUAUUACCCGCUUUAAAAAAAAAAAGCUUUAGCCCAUUUCUUCUGAGUUUACUUACCAUAAACUGAACAAUCGCCUCGCACUGCCGUGGAAAGAUCAGAGUAUCUGGCAAAAUUGAUUUCGACCUCCUCCCAUUAGAGAUCCCUUGUUUAGGAUAAUAACUUAAACCUGUUUCCCAGGAUGGCAUACAUAAGAUUGGAUAGAAAAGGAAACAAAGUAUGAUAUCUCAAUCUUCUCAAAACAUCUUUUAAGUUUGAGGAACUUACUAGUAUUGAAUAUAAUUUGGAUAUAUGUUUCCAGUCGAAAAGAAGAAUAUGAGAAAAAAAAUUAGCUUAUUCCAAAAGAAGGACCAGGAGUGACAUGAUAGCAAUGUUCCAAUAU